rnacentral:tRNA from 1 species
ACUCUAUGAGUACACCAGUACUUUUGACUUCCAAUCAGACGGUCUUAGCGAAAACCUAAGAUAGAGUA